UACGUAGGUGGCAAGCGUUGUCCGGAUUUACUGGGCGUAAAGAGCGCGCAGGCGGUCGUUCAAGUCGCGUGUGAAAGCCCCCGGCUCAACUGGGGAGGGUCACGCGAUACUGAUCGACUCGAAGGCAGGAGAGGGAAGUGGAAUUCCCGGUGUAGUGGUGAAAUGCGUAGAUAUCUGGAGGAACACCGGUGGCGAAGGCGGCAUCCUGGACCGACACUGACGCUGAGGAGCGAAAGCCAGGGGAGCAAACGGG
rnacentral:rRNA from 1 species